UACGAAGGGGGGCUAGCGUUGCUCGGAAUCACUGGGCGUAAAGCGCACGUAGGCGGCUUUCUAAGUCAGGGGUGAAAUCCUGGAGCUCAACUCCAGAACUGCCUUUGAUACUGGAGAGCUAGAGUCCGGAAGAGGUGAGUGGAACUGCGAGUGUAGAGGUGAAAUUCGUAGAUAUUCGCAAGAACACCAGUGGCGAAGGCGGCUCACUGGUCCGGUACUGACGCUGAGGUGCGAAAGCGUGGGGAGCA
rnacentral:rRNA from 1 species